GCCAGUCAAAUUCCUGGCAGCCAAUCGGAAGGAGGGAGGGGGCUGGUUAGCCCGCCUAUCGGGCAAGACGUCACUUCCUCAGCCACUGCGAAGCUCCAGACCGUAGCAACCGAACUAGGCCAAAUCGAUCCAAACUUGGCGAGGUCCCGCUGGCCAGGUUACCAGUUUAAGAGUCAAAGCGUAGCGAAGCACUUGAAAUGGCUCACGCCUGUAAUCCUAGCACUCUGGGAGGCCGAGGCGGGCGGAUUGCUCGAGGAACUAAUCUCACCAACACCCCCAGAAGUUAUAUGGAUGCAAGUGCAAAUGGACUUGACUUACCUUGUGCCCAAGACCUUUCCUAGCCUCAGAGGCCCAGCGCUCCCGGACUGAGAGGAACCGAGCGAGCCCCGCC